rnacentral:rRNA from 1 species
GAUGAACGCUAGCUACAGGCUUAACACAUGCAAGUCGAGGGGCAGCAUGGUCUUAGCUUGCUAAGGCCGAUGGCGACCGGCGCACGGGUGAGUAACACGUAUCCAACCUGCCUUAUACUCCCGGACAGCCUUCUGAAAGGAAGAUUAAUACGGGAUGGUAUCACGGGCCAGCAUUUUCUCGUGAUUAAAGAAUUUCGGUAUAAGAUGGGGAUGCGUUCCAUUAGAUAGUAGGCGGGGUAACGGCCCACCUAGUCUACGAUGGAUAGGGGUUCUGAGAGGAAGGUCCCCCACAUUGGAACUGAGACACGGUCCAAACUCCUACGGGAGGCAGCAGUGAGGAAUAUUGGUCAAUGGGCGCGAGCCUGAACCAGCCAAGUAGCGUGAAGGAUGACUGCCCUACGGGUUGUAAACUUCUUUUAUAAAGGAAUAAAGUGAGGCACGUGUGCCUUUUUGUAUGUACUUUAUGAAUAAGGAUCGGCUAACUCCGUGCCAGCAGCCGCGGUAAUACGGAGGAUCCGAGCGUUAUCCGGAUUUAUUGGGUUUAAAGGGAGCGUAGAUGGGUUGUUAAGUCAGUUGUGAAAGUUUGCGGCUCAACCGUAAAAUUGCAAUUGAUACUGGCAGCCUUGAGUACAGUUGAGGUAGGCGGAAUUCGUGGUGUAGCGGUGAAAUGCUUAGAUAUCACGAAGAACUCCGAUUGCGAAGGCAGCUUACUAAACUGCCACUGACAUUGAUGCUCGAAAGUGUGAGUAUCAAACAGG